rfam:Rattus norvegicus chromosome 16, whole genome shotgun sequence.
CACAAAGCUCUUCUAAGAGCCACAAAUGUGUCAUUAAGAGGUGUUGU